rnacentral:rRNA from 1 species
GACGAAGGGGGCUAGCGUUGUUCGGAAUUACUGGGCGUAAAGCGCGUGUAGGUGGUUGUCGUAGUCAGGCGUGAAAGCCUUGAGCUCAACUCAAGAAAUGCGCUUGAUACUGGGCAGCUAGAGGACCGGAGAGGAUAGUGGAAUUCCCAGUGUAGUGGUGAAAUGCGCAGAUAUCAGGAAGAACACCAAUGGCGAAAGCAGCUCUCUGGGACGGUACUGACGCUGAGACGCGAAAGCGUGGGGAGCGAACAGG